AGCUUUGCGCAGUGGUAGUAUCGGAGCCAGUGAGGUUUAUCCAAGGCGCGAUUAUUGCUAAUUAAAACUCAUAUGUGUGUACUUUAUAUAUACUUGUCAAAACACAGUCCUGUG
rnacentral:snRNA from 1 species